GGUCACAUCUGUAAUCGUGGUUCUGCUCCAGUUAUAAAACACCAUGACCAGAUGCCUCAGUUAGGAUUUCUUAUACCUUGAAGAGACACCGUGACCACAGCAACCCUUAUAAAGGAAAAUAUUUAACUAAGAGUGGCUUAUAGGUUCUGUGGUUCGGUCCAUUAUCAUCAUGGUGAGAAGCAUAAUGUCAUGGUGCUGGAUGGGUAACUGAGAGUUUUACAUCUGUAACUGCAGGCAGAAGGGAAAGAAAGAGAGAGAGGAGAGGAGAGGAGAGGAGAGGAGAGAGAGAGAGAGAAAGAGAGAGAGAGAGAGAGAGAGAGAGAGAGAGAGAGAUCCUACUUGAGAAUCCGAAACCUCUAAUUCCAUCCGCAGUGACACACUUCUUAGAAGAAAGCCACACCCACUCCAACAAAGCCACGCCUCCCAACAGUGCCACUCCCUGUGGGCCUGUAGGGGUCAUUUUCAUCGAAACAACCACAUAGAGCAAUUCGCAGAAGGAAAAUUAUAUGGCUUAUUGUCCCAGACAGUCAGGGACCAUCGUGGCAGCGACAGAUGGCAUGGGAUAGUAAAGGCAUGGAGGUUGGAACUUGAGGCUUUGAACUUGUAAGCACGGAGGAAAGAUUCCACCCUCCGUCACGAACUUCCUCCAGAGAGGCUGCACGAGCUAAUCUUCCCCAAACGGUGCCAUCAACUGGGGACUAACUGUUCAAAUGCCUGACGUUAUGGGAAAAUCUCUCACUGAAACCAUUAUUGGAGUUCAGCAAGCCUGUGCUCUGUGAGGAUGCUGACCUCAGAGCUGUAUGACAGAAUUUGAAGGGAGCUAUGCUCAACUUCCCACAUCACAUAAAGGUGAUUUAGCAUCUCGCUGGUAUCCCUUGAGGAUCUUGGAGCCACUGAUGAGGAAUCAAAGCCAUGAAGAUGCACAAUCACUCCAUGAAAGGACUAGACGUGGCAGAAGUGGGGUGGCAGCCUCUAGCUUGCCAUGUCUUCUGAGUCAGACUGGCUGUGCAUAGUGACAAGGAGCUAUGAAAAACUAUGUUCUCAGAGAAAGCUGAGCAGCAUUUGAAGACGUUCACCUUCCCAGCAAGGGGCCUUGCUGCUACCAUCGGUCCAUUAUUCACACUGGAAAUUAGACACCAGGAACUGGAGAAGAUUGUUUUCUUUUGUUGUUUGGUCUUUUUUUUUUAAAUUUAUGGUUAGAGACAAUGUAUCCUUCAUGGAUAUAUAUCAUACAUAUACAUAUGUAUAUGUAUAUAAAUUUGUGUAAUACAUUUGCUAUUUUUAGAUUUUAAUAAAGAGUAUUUUAAGCUCAAUGUUAAUAAAUUAAUACUUACACUGUAAUGUGUGGUGAGGCUAUGUGUAUAACAAAAGCAAUGACUGUGGGUGCAGAUCUGAUAUCCUCUAACAUGAAAUAUGGAAAGUGGGUGGUAGAGAUGGGCAAAUGAAUGCUCAUAGGGGGAAAGCAUCUACAGAGGAGGGUUGCACUAAUUAAUCAGAGUUAUAACUCAAAAUAUGUGCAUGUAAGGAUCUUAGAAAUAAUACUGUGCAACUACCUGUACAGUGUUGGAUAAGGUGGUUUAUAUUUUUAAUUAAUCAUUGGUUAUAAGAAAAAGUACCAUUUCUUACAUUGGUGUGUAAGAAAGCAGAGAGUUGAGUCUUACUGCGGUGUUAUUUCUGACACAAAGUGCACACCCCAACUCUACAGGAAUGCCAGAAAAUUACUAAGGACUUUCUACAAGAACAACCGCCUGUACACAGUGCAAACAUUCAGGUGAAGAAAUGGGAGGUGACAAAAUGGGAGGAACUGUUCACACUGAAAGAGAUAAGAUAUUUGGCAAAAAAAAAAGUGUAAUGUAUGAUCUCAAAAAGAGACACUCUUCUGGAGAGAUUAACUGCUACUGAGAGACAAUUGAAACACAUUUGAAGAUGGACUCUGGAUUACAUAGUAGUGUUAUAUCAAUGCUAAAUUCACUACUUACAACUUUCCAUUAGUUGUUCAUCAUUUUUAUUUAGGAAAAUAAAUUGAGCCAUUGACAACGGGGAUAAACUCUGCAAUUUACUGUCAACGUUUGACAAAAGCAAUAUUGACAUGUUACCUAGAAUGUCAGAGCAACUGGCAUGACUUGUGAACCUGAUGUGCCCACAGCCCUGUGCUACUCCAAUUUCUUCCUUAGAACGUCUAUGGAAUUAAGAGAUAGCAGAGAAAUGCUUUUUGCAUGUUAAGGCAUGAGGCAGCCCAUCUUAGACUUCUUACGGUGUAUGAAAAGGGUAGCAAGGUUUAAAUCCUAUAGCGCUCUGUCCAGAAGUUCAAAGAAACAAUUCCUAGCAGUCCAACUAGGCCUCUAUGGAAGGUCUUUUCUUUGUUUCGUUUCAAUUCUAUCUGCUUUUUAAAGUUUUAAUGGGUUUUUGAGGAUUCCGUACAAUAUAUUUUGGUACUAUUCAUUCUUUAUCCCCCAACUUCUUUCAGAUCUAUACCUGUCUUUGCUUUGUUUUGUUUCUUAACGCUCGGGUCCAGUAUGUGCUACCCACAUGUUCUUAGAUGUGUGCCCUUCCUCUUAUAAAUAAGACUGACUUUCCUUUGUCACACAACUACCAUUUGCCAGUAGUUCUUCGGUGACGGGUGGGAUGUCAGGCCACCUUCCAUUUCCAGGAUGGUAUUUGGUCUGACUGGGCUAGUAUAGACCGUGAGCCUGUUCCAUUUAGAACAGAUCCACCGUUCUCUGAUCCUUGAUCAGGUAUGAGACCGUCUGUUAACCAUCAUCUACCAUGAAUAGAAGUCUCUCUGAUAAAAGAUGCAUUCAUCUAUGACAAUACUAGCCAUUAAAAGUUGGUUUAAUGUUAUAUCUGUUUAGCUGAAUAAUCCGGUUCUUCCCUAGGAACUAUACCUUGUUUUGUCAUUGUUUCCUGGCCCCAGUGUAGCAUGAGAUGUCAGUUUCAUUGUACGUAGUGGGACCUAACUCCAUCACAAAGUGGUUGGUUGCCCCCACAACAUCUGUGAUACUAUUACCCCGUUGGGCACGACAUCGUGAGGCCGGUCAUUAUCGUAGCUCAGAGUUCAUAGCUCUGUUAGACUGAUCACUGCUUUUCUUCUCUAGCAUCACGGAUAGCACCUUCCAGCUCCAUGAAAGCCAACCAAUAGAGACGGAGCCUCCAGGUCAGAGCCAUCUUAACCUCUCCGUGUUCUUGACUCAGAUAUGUUGUCGUAUCAGCAAUAACAUCUUAUCAUCAAAUUCUGUAAGGAAACUGAAAUCAUUGCUAAUAGCCUGUAAGGUUUGGGGGGUGAUCCAUUUCUGGCACUGAACUUUUUGCUUGUUUUUUUCUUGGGGGUGGGGCGGGGUGUCUAGCAGGGGCGUUGUUAACCUUUUACACAUAAGUCUACUUUAACUCUUCGUUUAUGUGUAAAUACCACGGAAGGCUUCUACAGUCCUAGCUCACUCUUCAUAUGAUGUUUUCAAAAGCUUGUUAGUGUUUUUUUUAUUCCCCUCCACAACCUCUCCUCUAUCCAACUCUCCCAUCCCCCACCCCAAUUUAAACCCUUCCAUUCCAUCAUUCUUCCAUUAAGCCCUUGUGACCAUUGAAUUCUAUCUCCCCUUCCUUGAAACUCCCCUUACCUAGGGCACUGUACUAAUUUCCUGACUUUGAUAGGUCUUCCAAACAGGCCGUACCUAUCUGAAGAUUCAAAGCCAACACAAACAAAUUAGAGAGUUGUUGCCAUUCAUCCUUCUAAGUCUUACCUCACACAGACUGACCGUUACCACUCCAUCCCUUUACCUGCAACUUUCACGGUUGUUCUUUUCUUGACUGCCGGAAUGAUUUCCCGUUGUGUAAGUAUGCUCCAUGUUCAUUAUCCAUUUGCCAGUUAAUGGACACCUAGACUGAUUUAAGGUCCCUGCCUAUUGUGAAGAGAGCACUAAGGAUCAUGGAUAUGCAGUUAUAUGCAUAUUGAAGUUUUCUAUACGUUGGGAUGUAGAGUCCUUCUGGGUGUGUGUUCAAGAGCGGUUGGUCGAGCCGUUUCAUGUGGUAGAUGUAUUUUUAGCUUCUAGAGGAAGCGCCACAGUCAGUUUCACUAUGGCUGCACAAAUCUGCAUUCCCACCAGCCGUGAGAAUGUUUCCCUUUCCCCAUUUCCACACCGGAAUUGGCCGUCAUUCGUUAUUACGUUUUUUUAAUCUUAGAAAUUCUGAUUUGCGGAAGAUGAACUAUCAAUAAGUAUAGGUUUGCGCUUCCUCGGUGGCAAAGAAUGUGGAUCUUUCAAAUGUUUGUUGUUUGCCGUGAUAUUGGGAUCAUUACUUUUAAGUCUAUUUAGCAUUUUUUAAGAAACAGGAGAGCAGGUACCUUCACAGGUUCACAGACUUUGCUUAGGUGUUGCUUUUGCGGGUGGCGGGGGCGCCAUAGCAGCAGCCAUUGCUGUCUUCCCUGAUGCCUAAUUCAGCCUUUUUUACUUUCGUGGCAGCCCCGAGAGGCCUGUUCUCCCUGCGCAUGUCUGCCCUCUGAUUUCUGAUUCCGUUACAAAGCAGCGAGAAAUGCACCCGUGAUGGCUGGCUUGAAGUUGACUACGUGGCAGGAAUCUUUUCUUUUGAUUUUCUUCCACCUGCCCUUUUUUGUGCUUUAUUUCCUUGGAGGGCAGUUCCGUUUGUCUGCCAAGGGUUCCUUUUGCAAAGGAACAUGGUCCAGCAUUUUUCGUCAAAAACAAAAACAAAAACAAAAACAAAAAACAAACAAACAAAAAAACAAAACAAAAAACAAAACAAAAAAACAAAAAAACUGGAAAACCUCCUAGUGGGUCCUGGCUAAACGCUGUUGGUGUUUUAAGAGCAGCUUGAAUUCAGUGAAAGCGCACAGCUCCGUCUUCACGACAAGGAGGAAACGUUGAUGUAGAACAAUUUUUUAAAGUGUACUUACCAGCCAUUUUUACUGCGUCAUUUCAGAACUCAGUUCAUUUCUACACCUCUUUUUAAAAAUGGCAUAGAUAUUUAGUUUUUCUUGAUGUUUAGUUUUGUAUAUUCUAGAUGCUGGUUUGUACCAUCUGAAUGAUGGUGUCCUUCGCUAUACAGAAGUUUUUGAGUUCCAUAAGGUCCUUUUAUCGUUAGCCUUAAUGUCUGUCUUUUUAGAUGCUCUUAGAUGUGCCAAUGGGUUCAAGUAUAACCCUACUGACUCCUUGUUUAGAUUCAGAGAAUUGGGUGUUAUCUAAGGGCUCGUUCAGUUGGCUUUCCGAUGCUUUGAUAAAUACCCCGACCAAAAGCAGUGUGGAAAAUAAAUUUUCUCUUAUAUUUCCACGCCACUGUCCAUCACUGAGAAAAGUCAGAGAAGGAGUUCAUGAGCCCGGAGGAAGGCACUGAAGCAGAGACACGCAUGGGAGAUUGCUGCUGUCUAAGUUCACAAUUAUGUAUUCUUCUAAUACUUCCUAGGACCUCUUGCCCAUGUAUGGUACUGUCUACGGUGAGCUGGACCCUCCCACAUCAAUUAUUAACUGAGAAAAUAAUGCCCUGUAGAUUUGUCAACCAACCAAUCUGAUAGAAGCAUUUUCUCAGUUAAGUUUCCCUUUUCCGGGAUGACCUUAGUUUGUGUCAAGCUGACAAAAUAUCCAGCAGAAGGUCCUUGAUCCACUUGGAGUUGAGUUUGUGAAGGGCAAGAGGUAUGGGUUUUAUUUUGUUCUUCAACAUUCGGAAUAACCAAACGUAUUUGUUGACGAUGCUUUUUCUCUCCUGUGUAUUGUUGGCUUCUAUGUCAAGUUCAUGUGGUCAGUUUAUGAGUGGGUCUUCAUUCGCAAUUUGCUCAUUGAUGAGUCUAAUUUGUGCCAGUGACAUACUAUUUACUUUAGCUCCAUAGUAAAAUUUAAAAUCAAGGAUGGUGAUUCCUUUUGUGGAUUUCUUAUUGCUGAGUGGGUUUGUUUGUUUGUUUGUUUUAUUUUGAAUUUUUUUUGCUAUCCUAUACCUUUUGUGUUUUCAUAUGAUUGAUAUAUAUCAAUUGGUGGCCAUCUUCAGAAGACUAGUCCUACCGACCCAUGAGCAUGGAAGAUCUUUCCAUCUUCUGGAAUUUUCUUCAGUUUUUUUCCCAUGCCUUAAUUUGUUCAUUGUAUAAGUUUUUCACUUCAUUGAUUCGAUGUGUAAGUGUGAGUGUGUGUGUGUGUGUGUGUAUGUUUACAUGUGUGCUUGUGUGUGUGUAUGUUUGCAUGUGUGAGUGUGUGUGUGUAUGUUUGCAUGUGUGAGUGUGUGUGAGUGUGGGUGCAUGUGUGUAUGUUUACAUGUGUGCUUGUGUGUGUGUAUGUUUGCAUGUGUGAGUGUGUGUGAAUGUGUGUGCAUGUGUGUAUGUUUACAUGUGUGCUUGUGUGUGUGUGUUUGCAUGUGUGAGUGUGUGUGAGUGUGUGUGCAUGUGUGUAUGUUUACUUGUGUGCUUGUGUGUGUGUGUUUGCAUGUGUGAGUGUGUGUGAGUGUGUGCAUGUGUGUAUGUUUGCAUGUGUGCUUGUGUGUGUGUAAGUGUGAGUGUGUGUAAGUGUGAAUGUAUAGGUGUGUGUAUGUUUGCAUAUGAGCUUGUGUGUGUGUGAGUGUAUGGGUGUGUAUGUUUGCAUGUGUGCUUGUGUGUGAGUGUGUGUGUGUGUGUGUGUGUGUGUGUGUGUGUGUGUGUGUGUUUGAGGCAAUUAUAAAUGAUAUUCUUUUCCUGGUGUCUUUCUCUCUAUGUCUAUGUAGCUUUACAAAGUAAAAGUGAAGAUAGCUUACAUAAGUUAAACAAUUCAUAUUGGUCUUUCAAAUUAGGACUAAAUACUGUCUUUGGGGGAAAUGUCACCUCUUAGCUCUCCACUUUCUAUCUUUCCCUGCACAGCAAGCAUCUUUGCUUUGGUGACAGGGCAGACAGAGACAGUGAGACCUUGACUCUCACUGGUCCUUGUUUUUUAUUAGACAGAAUUACAUUUCUUGUGCUACUCUUUCUCUGGGAGCUGCUUGGUUUUGUCUUCCUGGGGUGACUGUCCUUACCAAGGGUGAGACCUUAUAUCUUUGAGAGGGUUUAAUUCAGGACAGAAAGUAGUAGAAAUUCAAUUUUGCCUUAAAUCCAAUUCACAGUCUCUUACCCGAGUCAGGGGCAGGGCUGGUAUUUUUUUCUUCAUCUGUCUGAUCCUUGUAUUUCUAAAGUUGGUCCCCCGUAGGGGAAAGGAGGUGUGAUUAAUUAUCACCCUCUCACUGCAACCACCACCAGGCAGUCUCUGCUGGGAAAGCAGGGGAAAUCGGCCUCCAGGAAGACAGAGCACAGGGGCUUGAAAAGACAAAUGGGGAUGAAACGCACAGCUCAAACGACACAUUAAUUCCUUCUUAUUAUAUGUAGUGUCUUCAGCUCUAGCUACAUGUCUUUCUCCCUUUGGGUUCCAAGAAAUACAUGGGAAUCUUUAGAAUAAUGUUCUUUGGGGAGUAGACCAGAAGCCAAAAACUUUCUAGGUAUUAUUUUUUCCUGUCAGGUUUGGAAAGUAUCUAAAUUAUGUUUUAGGAAAUAGUUUUACUACUUGAAGGAUUAGUCUCGCAUUGUUUUAAGAACACUCUAGUAACAGAUACCAAAGAAUACCACAGUCAAAGGCUUCUGUUCCAGUGUGGACAUCUUCAUCCUAAGCCUUACAGGUGGGAAAACAAAAGGAAUAGUGAGAAAGAAAUGGUGUAAAUGGAGUUCCAGGGCUCAAGUCACAAGCUGCCCUUUGUUUUAACUCAAUGUCCUGGAUCUAAAUGAAGAGGAGAUAGAGUCCUCUCUAGGUGGUGACACUGGGGGACAGGUAACUUCAGUCCAGAGACCACAAACGGACUGAAAAUUAGUUAGAUAAUGUCAAGUCAGUUAGUAAAAUUUUCACCAUAUAGGUCAUGUUAGAUAAAGAAUGUGAUCCUCCCAGUAGAGUUGAAAGGCAGCAAACCACAUGAGCUGACUAUGAUGGCUGUGCCUGUUUGGUCAAGGGUUACAGUGUAGAUUGUAGUGAUUCCUUUCACUGACUCUUGUAAGGAGACCUCCACUAUGCGAAAGUCCCACUCAGAGUCAUCGUGCAUGUGCCAAACUGAGAAGAGGGGGAGAAUUUGCAACUGGCAAAAAUCAUUUUGGUGGAGUCAAGGUAGGCAGGGAAAGAAGUCUUAGAAUAUUGUUGUUCUAAUUUGAGAGAAAUGAGUUUGACACUAAACAGACUUCCUCUGACACAAUUCCUUGAUGCCCAGCGUUAAUGGCUGUGGUAUUGCUUUGUGUCUUGCUGCUUUAAACACUCGGGGGUUGUUCAUACGGGUGGGUAUUCUUGCAGUGUCCAGUACUGAUGCCGGCUUCUCCCUUCUGUCUCCAAACUCCGUCUCCAGUUCUUUUACUUCAUCUUUUCCUCUACGAAAAGGAUCCACAUAGCCUGUCAAAGUCUUGGUCUUGAAAUCCUCCUGCAUCAGCCUCUUAGAUGGCUGGGUUUGCAGACCUGUGCCACCAGCCGUGAGUUCGCUACGGUUUUAGAGUAUAUUCCUACCCACUUGAAAGUUUUUCACGUAAACUAGCGUGUCACCCUGGCAACUGGCUCACAUAGCUCUUGGUUCCAACAAUUGGCUAUGCCGAGUGAUUGAUCUAUAUCAGCGCAGAUCAUCACACUGUGAGGAAAACGCCCAGGACACAGUUGUCAGGCCGUGUCCCUGUUAGUGAUUCAUGGGGCGUGCACGUCCAUCUGAAAAGUCCUUUUCUUCUGAGAAAAUGUUUUAGAAGAGCCUGAACAAAUGGAGUUAAAUCAUUGCCCGACUACCUGGAAAAACAGAGAAACACGACUACAAUGUGCACAAAUACAAGAGAUAUGUCAGCCAGUUGCCAGAGCAACACAUGUAAACUACAUACAAAACUUUAAAGUAGAUAGGAGUGUACUCUAAAAUCAUAGCAAAC